rnacentral:rRNA from 1 species
GAUAUGGCUCAGGAUGAACGCUAGCGACAGGCUUAACACAUGCAAGUCGAGGGGCAGCACAGGUAGCAAUACCGGGUGGCGACCGGCGCACGGGUGAGUAACGCGUAUGCAACUUACCUAUCAGAGGGGGAUAACCCGGCGAAAGUCGGACUAAUACCGCAUGAAGCAGGGGUCCCGCAUGGGGAUAUUUGCUAAAGAUUCAUCGCUGAUAGAUAGGCAUGCGUUCCAUUAGG